rnacentral:rRNA from 1 species
UUCGCAAUGCCCGAAAGGGUGACGAAGCGACGCCGCGUGCGGGAAGAAGGCCUUCGGGUUGUAAACCGCUGUCGGGAGUUAAGAAAUGCAAGGGUGUUAAUAGUAUCCUCGCUUGACUAAGGCUCCGGAGGAAGCCACGGCUAACUCUGUGCCAGCAGCCGCGGUAAUACAGAGGCGGCAAGCGUUGUUUGGAAUUAUUGGGCGUAAAGAGCACGUAGGCGGCUGUGUAAGUCGGUUGUGAAAGCCUUCCGCUCAACGGGAGAACGGCAUCCGAUACUGUAUGGCUUGAGUGCGGGAGGGGAGAGUGGAACUUCUGGUGGAGCGGUGAAAUGCGUAGAUAUCAGAAGGAACACCGGCGGCGAAGGCGACUCUCUGGCCCGUAACUGACGCUGAGUGUGCGAAAGCUAGGGGAGCAAACGGGAUUAGAUACCCCGGUAGUCCUAGCCGUAAACGAUGGGCACUAAGUAGAGGGGUUUU